AAGUCGUAACAAGGUUUCCGUAGGUGAACCUGCGGAAGGAUCAUUAACACGUAUCCACGUUAUCAACCAACUGUGAACAUGUUUUCAACUCUCCCUGCCUCCAACAUGAAUUGGCAAAUUGAAUUAAAUGAUGAAAUGGGAAUUGUCAGUCUCCCCAACUGUUGAUUCAGUUUAAUUCAACCACUCGCUUCUGAUGAGAAUUUAUUUUCAUCGGAGGUUUACAAUUGUAGUUGGAGUCAGGCUAACCCUUUCUGCUAUCGGCCUGCAGCCUUUCAUCGCAGCGAUAGUGGAAUACUAUUCAACACUAAAAUCACCCCCUUUUUGCUAGUUGACUUUUAUAUGUUAAUUCGAGCAUACUUCAUUGAAUGUUCGUCUUACACGUUUAUUAUUUGAACGUUAAAAUUACAACUCUUAGCAAUGGAUAUCUUGGUUCUC
rnacentral:misc_RNA from 1 species